rnacentral:rRNA from 1 species
CAGCCGCCACGGGAAUACGGAGGGCGCGAGCGUUACCCGGAUUUACUGGGCGUAAAGGGCGUGUAGGCGGCCUGGGGCGUCCCAUGUGAAAGGCCACGGCUCAACCGUGGAGGAGCGUGGGAUACGCUCAGGCUAGAGGGUGGGAGAGGGUGGUGGAAUUCCCGGAGUAGCGGUGAAAUGCGCAGAUACCGGGAGGAACGCCGAUGGCGAAGGCAGCCACCUGGUCCACUUCUGACGCUGAGGCGCGAAAGUGUGGGAGCAAACCGGAUUAGAUACCCCCGUAGUCCCUGUCUCUUAUACC